rnacentral:lncRNA from 1 species
CAGCUCCCCCGGCCACCAGGCACGCAGUGCAGCUCUCCCUCUGCCCUGCAGGUGGUACUGUUCGACCGCUUUGCAGCCCUCUAAGGCAAGGAGCUGCAGCUUUUCGGGUGAGCUUUACCAGCGCAUCUGGGCGCAGCUGCAGGCACGGAGCUGGGCUCUAUCCGCUGCUCCCCGUGGGUGCAAGGACCAAAGGCGUGCCCUGUCCCUGGGACACCCGGUGCACCCAUGUGGGUCACCCACAGCUCUCCUGAGACAGUGCCAGCCUGCGGGGCAGGAGGGGUUUGUGCGUGUAUCAGAGCAGCAGCUUUAAUCCGUAAUGCUUGCCAUGAGGAUGAGGUGUCAGUAGCUUUGAACUCCUCGUCGUGAGGCUCGGGCCCCUGUUUGCAGCUCAGCACUGUGCCACAUCUCCUUUGGCUGGGGCUCAUUUGCGGUGCUGUCAGAGCACCAACAGGUCCCAUACGGCAGCGCACAGAGUCAAGGCGUUCUCCUGGUGUAUCCAUCACUAUCUCCGUCUCAUUGCCAAGCACUUCAAGCUUUCAUCAGAUCAAUUUUCUCCCUUUGAAAGAAAAGAGUCUUGUUAACUUGUGUGUGGGGCAGUGGAAAGCGCUCACCUGCCUCUCCCCAUGGUGCUGUGCAGUGUAAGCUGUGAAGAAGCAAGUUCCUCUCCCAGGAUGAGUAAAGUUUGCAUGACCUCGUGCCAGAAGAUCAAUGUUUUUGGGGAAAUGGCCAUUAGCCCUUCCGUGAACUUGGCAAUGUGUUUCCUAAGAUUCUUAUCACAUGUAGAAAGACGCCAAUUACUUCUAGCUGUGGGCGAGCCAGCUGUUCCUGGGACAACCUUCAGCCCUCCCAAGGACAGCGGAGCAUCGUCACUCGAAUCCUUGUGCUUCCCGUUGGCGGCAGAGCAUGGCCACCCGCGCUGCAGAAAUGACAGGUUGGAGGACAAGAGUAGGGCUGGGGCCGUCCCCAGGGCUGCUGUACGUGGCCAGAACAUCGGGUUCGGAGACUCUCAGUCAGCGUGCUGCGAAGGUCAUAAAAUAGCUAGCAGCAGAAGUAAUCAGAGCCUGGGGCUGGCCCGGAUCGCCCUUUCCUUUCGGAAUUAAGGAGGGUGCUUGGCGCUGCUUGCGAAGCAAUCACAUUGAACAACCCCAAAUUGGCUUCCACGGGGAACCGUGGCCUCCUUGCUCUGCGAUAUGCCCUCCUCCGGUCCAGCAGCUUUCUCUUCCAGACCACAGCUUUAUUUAAUUUAGGUCCUACCAUUGGCAAUGGUUUUGCAAUGGGCUGUGGGUUAGGAAAAAGUAGAGAAUUUUUCCUUAAGCAAAAAGGAGAUGACAUUGCACAGAAAAAACAGAGCAAAGAAUAGUUUGUUGGCCGUUUUCUGCCUUGCUUCUGUGUGUGAUGCCAGCAAAAGGAUUGCAUUUUGGAGUGAUUUAAUGAAAAAAUGACUUUUGUUUCUAAUUCCUUUGCCUGCUUCAAAGCAGAAGGGCCACACGAUGGAGCUCUGGGGCUUCUGUCGGGGCCUGCCUGGAUUCACGCGUAAAAAGCAGUUUGGAGACCUUGAAAUUACGGUUUUUAUUAAUUUUUCACUCAGUUUAAUUUUUACAUUCAUUUUUAAAUGGUAAAUGUUCUAGACAUUAUAAUUGUAAAAUGUAAUUUAUGGUUGCUAGCUGAAGGUAUUUACUUUUGCUUUCUUAAGAUUGGAACUUUUAUUUUUAUUUUUACGACUGUAACGGGGUAACAUUUUUCAAUCUCCUGAGAGGCUGGCAUCCCAGAGACAGCGUUAGACCAUAUAAUUCUUCCAAAUGACACCCUGACUAUGUUGGGGAAGCUCUCAGGCCUCUAUAUGCAAAUAUUAAGCACCGGCCUUGCUGCACGUGUGAGAGAAUAAAUGAUGUUUUGGAGUGCUCCUUGUUCCUGGU